rnacentral:tRNA from 1 species
UAUCUUGUAGACUAAUCGGGUAAGUCAGGAAUUUUUGGUAUUCCCUAUUGCGUGUUCGAAUCACGCCAAGAUAA